rnacentral:ncRNA from 1 species
GUUCUCGGGGCAGGGUGAAAUUCCCUACCGGCGGUGUUGGCUGUGUUUUGCGGCCUCAGCCCGCGAGCGCCUUAUAUAGUGAUAUGUAAGGGUCAAGCAGACUUGGUGUGAUUCCAGGGCCGACGGUUAUAGUCCGGAUGAGAGAGAAC